GAGAUUUGAUGAUUCAGUCCGAGUACCAUCACUACUGAAUACGCCCAAUCUACUGCAAAGUCUCUGAGGGGCAUGAUAGUGACUUUGGGCUAAACUCCCACUAAACUUGUAGAUUAAUCUUUAAAUUAAAUUCUUUUAUAAUAAUUAAUAUUAUUCCUCUUCUCUCGCUGCUGGCUCCUUUUAUGUGCAGCUGUACCUUUACAUCUUAAUCAUAUACACAUAAAAGAAGCCCAUAAAAUACAGAAUAGAGAAUCAGCCUCCAACAAGAACACUGAAGAUAAUCAGUCCUCCCUGAACCAGUAACAGGAGCGGAGACGACCUUCAACCAUGCCCACGUAAACCGGGGACCGAACAGAGAAGGACUUCAGCCUGAGGGUUUCUCCUGACAGGACCUGUGACGUCACCAGAACCUGUGCAGUCUUGCACAACAUCACCACCCUGAGAGACCAGAUCCAGAAUGACGGGAAGACUCUGAGUCGGCUGACUCACCAACUGCGAGGAGGCUUCAGGGCCCAUUUCAGUUUGUCCCCGUGUGACUCAGGGCCACUUCUUAUUUGGCAGCUCAGCGUUGAAGUGAGUUAUUAAAACACUGAUUACAGUUCAAAGCUCGACCUUCCCCCGCUUCUUUAACUCCGACUGCAGCUUCUUGUAGUUUGACAGAAUGUGUCAGCUGACUUGUGCAAAGUGACUUUCUUUAUUCCUGGCUGACGUCACGUCCUGCAGAAGCUCUGUGGUUUCACAUCAUCCGUGGUCCAGAACCUCUCAUGUGGUCCUUCGCUCACUUUUCCCCCAGAGCUGUGGACAGGCUGCAAAAAGCAGAACAGCACCGAUCGCUGCCACGGCCAUGAAGCCCCGCCCCCCUGCAGGUGGUAAAGCAAAAGAAGGAUCUGCAUAAGGUGCCCAGUGCUUUAACUAAACAAGACCUUCUCCAUCAUGGUCCAGGGGCGGCGUGUUGGUGCUGACAGGUGGAAACGAUGAUGCUCACGUUCGGCUUCCUGAUUGGCUCUGAUCAGUCAGUCAAAGCAGGAAGACGAUGCUGCUGACAGAGUUUUAUUAAAGUAUUCUGCACUGUGUAAAUAACACUUGUACACUUGUACUCUGCACGUCUCUGUAUUGACUUUGUGGCGACUCCCAGUCUGUUUCCCGCCGCCACCAUCUCUAAGGCUUCGUGUGACGGGUCUCUCCGGGCUGCCUGCCCCUGAAACAGCAGAAUGGAUCCAGCUGAGAGGCUCCACACUCUGAAUCAGGCCAUUUCAACACAACUUUAAACACUGACAUUAUCUAGCCUGCUGAUAAUUAAUCUCUUAUUUAAACAUAAAACAUCAGGUAGGCUGGUAUUAGUUCUGCUUUUAGCCUGUCGGCAUUUUCUGCACGUGCACGGUAGACAUGACGUGCACAGGAUUAUUCAGGCCCAUUUGAUUUACUGCUGAAGACUGUUCAGCCGUCAGCUCAGCACCUUCUUCUGACUCACAACUGGAUUCAUAACAAAGGACGGCAGAAGAGAUGAAGGAAGGCUUCAUCUCGCUGCUAUUUCUGGAUUAAUUGUGGUCUGUGAGUCAGAGUGAAUCAAGCGUAAAGAUGCAGGUCGAACCUGAGUCACUGUUUACAGUCUGAAUGUGUCUGAAGGGAAAGUGAGAGUCAGACUCUUUAAUCCAGAGAACCGGUUUCAUUAGCUGUGGAGUUCAUCAGAUUAUUAUUUAUUUGCUUAGUCCUAUUUAGUCUUGAAGAUAUUUCACCUAAAUUCCAAAAGGCUGCUGAAGUGUGAAGAAUAUAUUAAAUAAAACUGGUCACAUUCAA